rnacentral:rRNA from 1 species
AGAUUGAACGCUGGCGGCAGGCCUAACACAUGCAAGUCGAGCGGCAGCACGGGUACUUGUACCUGGUGGCGAGCGGCGGACGGGUGAGUAAUGCCUAGGAAUCUGCCUGGUAGUGGGGGAUAACGCUCGGAAACGGACGCUAAUACCGCAUACGUCCUACGGGAGAAAGCAGGGGACCUUCGGGCCUUGCGCUACCAGAUGAGCCUAGGUCGGAUUAGCUAGUUGGUGAGGUAAUGGCUCACCAAGGCGACGAUCCGUAACUGGUCUGAGAGGAUGAUCAGUCACACUGGAACUGAGACACGGUCCAGACUCCUACGGGAGCAGCAGUGGGAAUAUUGGACAAUGGGACGAAAGCCUGACUCCGAGCCAUCGCCGCGUGUGUGAAGAAGGUCUUACGGAUUGUAAAGCGUAACGUUUAAGGUUGGGAGGAAGGUCUAGUUACCUAAUACGUAUCUGUUUGACGUUACGA